GCUCGGGCCCAGAUGGUGGGCUCCCAGAGCGCAAUGAGCUACAUACCAGCUCUGAACAAACAGACCAUCGCUCACUCGGCCGGACAGGGCCCCAACAACAUCCUUCCUAGAAAUGAAAGGAUCCCGCUGACAAUCACGUGGCCGUUUAGUCGUCUUUGGUCUCCUUCGGUCUGGAACAGCCUUUAAGAGCUUCCUCCGCCAUCGAGGACAUGGAGAUUACAGGCCAGUAAUCCUAGAGAAUGGCUUUCAACUUGGGUGCCUCUGAUGUCUCCUCACAAUUGGAUUUGGGUUGUGGAAUCUUGGGCCAUCACAGCAGUGAUCGAUGAUUUUCUCACAUUGCAUCCUGUCUGGUGACACGUGAUUUUGAUCUGUCGCAUCGCUGAUGAUGUCAUCAAUGCGAAUCGCUUCGUUAGGGUGCUGUCUGCCAAGAUUCUCCUCCAUAAAAUUACUAUUUAUCCCUUUGUAAUGAAUGGGUGUUUUGUGGGGAGGUCCUUUGAGACUAAGUAAAAUGUCCUAUGACA